CAGCCGCCGCGGGAAUACGAAGGGUGCAAGCGUUACUCGGAAUUACUGGGCGUAAAGCGUGCGUAGGUGGUGGUUUAAGUCCGUUGUGAAAGCCCUGGGCUCAACCUGGGAAUUGCAGUGGAUACUGGGUCACUAGAGUGUGGUAGAGGAUAGUGGAAUUUCCGGUGUAGCAGUGAAAUGCGUAGAGAUCGGAAGGAACAUCUGUGGCGAAGGCGACUAUCUGGGCCAACACUGACACUGAGGCACGAAAGCGUGGGGAGUAAACAGGAUUAGAUACCCCAGUAGUCCCUGUCUCUUAUAC
rnacentral:rRNA from 1 species